AACGAACGCUGGCGGCAUGCCUAACACAUGCAAGUCGAACGAGACCUUCGGGUCUAGUGGCGCACGGGUGCGUAACGCGUGGGAACCUGCCCUUAGGUUCGGAAUAACUCCCCGAAAGGGGUGCUAAUACCGGAUAAUGUCUUCGGACCAAAGAUUUAUCGCCUUUGGAUGGGCCCGCGUUGGAUUAGCUAGUUGGUAGGGUAAAAGCCUACCAAGGCGACGAUCCAUAGCUGGUCUGAGAGGAUGAUCAGCCACACUGGGACUGAGACACGGCCCAGACUCCUACGGGAGGCAGCAGGGGGGAAUAUUGGACAAUGGGCGAAAGCCUGAUCCAGCAAUGCCGCGUGAGUGAUGAAGGCCUUAGGGUUGUAAAGCUCUUUUACCCGGGAUGAUAAGGACAGUACCGGGAGAAUAAGCUCCGGCGAACUCCGU
rnacentral:rRNA from 1 species